AAAAUAUGAUUUUACAAUUUUUUUUGCAUUUUAUUUGGAGUGAUUUGGAGCUCCGAAUCAAUUUUGAGGUUCAAAAACAAAAAAUAGAUAAAAGAAAAGGAAAAACAGAAGAAAACCGGCCGAACAGGACCCGACCGGUCGAACCGGACCGGACCGACCGGCUCAGCCCAGCCGAGCCGCCCGCUCUCACUGACCAGUGGACCCCGCCGUCAUCUUCAACCUCCGUCC
rnacentral:lncRNA from 1 species